CCUACGGGGGGCAGCAGUGGGGAAUCUUGGGCAAUGGGCGCAAGCCUGACCCAGCAACGCCGCGUGAGGGACGAAGGCUUUCUGAGUUGUAAACCUCUUUCGGUAGGAACGAUUGUGACGGUACCUACAGAAGAAGCACCGGCCAACUAUGUGCCAGCAGCCGCGGUGAUACAUAGGGUGCAAGCGUUAUUCGGAUUUAUUGGGCGUAAAGAGCUCGUAGGCGGUUCGAUUAGUCGGGUGUGAAACCCCCAGGCUUAACCUGGGGCAGCCACCCGAAACU
rnacentral:rRNA from 1 species